UCCGCAUUAAUUUCAAAGUAAAACACACUGGAUUAGCAGGUGGAUACGUCAGAAUUAUGGACUAAUAUUAUUUAAAAAGCUACAGUGACUAAAAACAUCAGAGUCCCUCGCCCAGAAUUCCCACCGGGACGCAGGCAGCUGACAAGAAGCUACAACAACUACUGCAGUGCUUCAUUCACAUGCUGCUGCUCUGUUCCUGCAGCUCCUCAUGUUGCCUGUUGCUGCUCCCCAGUAAACCCCUGUGUCCCCUACUGACUCCACCAUCUAUCAUGUGCAUCACACCCGCAUCAGGGGGUCACGGACAACGGACGGAAAUACCCGCACUCGGUAUUUCCAUCGCAACAUGCCAGACCUUCAUGACCCACGACGCCGGGCAAUAAUGACGAAGCCAUGUUCUCAGCCUGUUUGAAGUGGAACAGCACCCAGAGGCACCGUAUUGAAACCAGCUCCUAUG